rnacentral:rRNA from 1 species
AGAGUUUGAUCCUGGCUCAGGAUGAACGCUAGCUACAGGCUUAACACAUGCAAGUCGAGGGGAAACGACAUCGAAAGCUUGCUUUUGAUGGGCGUCGACCGGCGCACGAGUGAGUAACGCGUAUCCAACCUGCCCAUCACUUGGGGAUAACCUUGCGAAAGUAAGACUAAUACCCAAUGAUAUCUCUAGAAGGCAUCUGAAAGAGAUUAAAGAUUUAUCGGUGAUGGAUGGGGAUGCGUCUGAUUAGCUUGUUGGCGGGGUAACGGCCCACCAAAGCAACGAUCAGUAGGGGUUCUGAGAGGAAGGUCCCCCGACCAUUGGAACUGAGACACGGUCCAAACUCCUACGGGAGGCA